ACAAUUGAACCCGUGGCUAAUCAUUUGUCCGCGCUGGCUUUUGCUUAUGUUGGCGGGUUUCUUCAAAUUAUUGCAGACAAUAUAGCUUCCUUCUUCUUGCUGAAUUCCUUAUAAUCCAGUUCUACAGAUGGCAUUAUCUGCUUUACAUGAUCAGCAUGCAGUCCAUUUAAAAUUGCUUAAUUAUGUUUCCAAGUAAGUGCGAAUUUUUUCUUCCAUUUGUAACUCUCUUGGAUGAAAUUAGUUCUAUAAGAUCAUCAUAAAAAACACUGCAGAAACCCCACUUUUAACAAGUCUACACCAGCAGGAAAACUAUACUAAGUUGGACACAUGCUUCCAGUUUCUGAAACCUGUAAAAGUAAUUCUUGCUGUAUAAGUUACUGAAGAAAGGUCAGUUGUCUUCCGUAUAAAUUAAACAUUCAUCUUUGAUCAAUGUUCCAGGGAAAUACAUUGGAUGGCUGUGUGCCAAGCAACCACAUAGGUCAAUUCAGAGACUAAUUGAAGAAAGAUCAGAUCUUUCAUUUGAGAUGUUCAUCAUCUCUGAAGCAUGAAGAAAGAUCCAAGAAAUUUUAUGUAUCUUGAUAAUUUUGCAAUGCUGCGUACAAUGCGCAACAGUUUGGAGCUCUAGCAGCACACAUUGGAGAUAAUGCUCUUCUUUCAGGCAAAUAUAAUUAAUCUACAACAAAUGAGUCCAGCUAAAGGUCAAACGAGCAGAAUCCCAGAUUGAUGAGCCAAAUAGUUCAUGUGGAAAAAUAUAUUUUGUGUCUAGGCGUGGCCACAAACCUGACGUAAAAUAUAGCCAUCUAUUUGCAGCUGUGGCCAGUAUGAAUGGCACGCAGCUAAUGUAAUAUUGAGUGGACCAUAUCAGGCUACUAUGAGCACUCUGUAUGACUAUGACAAAUGCUAUUACUGAAAUACUAGCAGAUCCUCUCUA